GGCUAGCCCAUAUGGGCUAGCCAUACCAUAGUCGUACGCUCUAGUAGUGGUCUGCUUGCUAUGGUAACGAAGUUUAGCGAAGUGCAGCCGUUUCGUUUGUCACCCUUUGCAUUCUCGUUCCCGUCUAAGCGUACGCGUGGCUAGUAUAAACAGCUGGAAAGAAAGCGUUACAAGCGGCAUGCUCGAGAAAGUGAUCAUUCAGUGUCACCGUUAUGUUGUAGGAGCAUGCUGUGUGUUGUGGACUCCACUGAAAAGUGCCGUUGAUUACUACUGGUGGAGACACUGCAAGUGUGGAAGUUGCGGUACAAGCCAAUGAGAACAGCCGGGUUGUGCAAGUUGACCUGUUUGACGUAUCACCGCAUAAAGAAAACAAGGCGUUUUUUUUUCCCCUCUAUAUUCAUAUGCUUGUGAAGGUUGCGGACACGAUCCGGCCCCUCAGUGCUGCAAAAGAAGCACCAUCUUCAAUCGGCGGCACGACCUGUGACUGCACCAUGCCCUUAUUGCUUCGCCCAUCUCAGUGUGAAAUCCCUGUCAAGGCACAAGAAGGACAUGCAUGGAAGCCAGAAGAAAGUGCACAAGUGCUCAAUGUGUGAUGCUAAGUUGACACGGCUUGACAAUCUUCGACGACACAUGCUGCUUCGUCACCGUUACCAGAAGACACACUGACACCACUAAACAUGUGACUGGCAGGAACCAUUCUCAUCCAGUCAAAUAAUCUCAAUUUCAGUAUGUUUACCUAAUGGUUAGUUGUGACUUGCUUCUGUGCCAGGUUUAAUUGAAUCUUAGCGGUGAUGUGGAGUAAGUGCAAUGAGAAACCAACAUUGCAGCAAGGAAAUGUACAUUGAAGGUUUUGAGCAUUACGUCGAUGUAUACUGUGUGAUUUACUUUUGUGCAGCAUUUAAGUAAAAGUGUGCUUAAUUUCUAGUGCCAUUUUACAGCAGACUCUACUUCACUUUAGAAAAAAGGAAAAUUUCUUUUUGUUUCUUAAUGUGUGAUGCCGUUUCCAUGAAACUGCUGCAUUUACCAAACAAUGUUUGCCAACAUUUUAGGUGACAUUAAGAGAAAAAGAGUGGACCUGGGCUGGCCACAUGCUUACUGGCACAGCUUUUUGUGAAAAUGAAUGUUAGGUGAUAUCACGUGUUAUGAUAACUAUGUGAAACACAUACUUUUUAUACCUUCUUCAUUUUUAAUUGUAUCUUCUCUGAAGCUUUAUUGGUUUGGUUGUUUUUAAUGGCUGCUGGCAUCCCGUUCAUUCAUUGUAUACCAUCAGGGGCAUAGCCAGAAAUU